GAGAGAGAGAGAGAGAGUACACAGUAUAGAGAGAUAGUAAGGGAGAUAUAGCCAAAGAGGGAGGGGGCAAACACUUGGUGCACUCUUGCUGUUCAUGCAGUUGAGUCAGAGCUACAUGCUCUCUGGCAGUAUGGCAUCGCUCUCAUGUAACACAGCAAAAAGGGCUCCAGCCAAAUACUACAGUGAGUAUGAUUGGAUGAUUUUCGCAGGAAUCUUUUUAAAAAGUUGUUCAUUACUUCUUGAAUUUGUCUUUUUUUCCACUGCCCUCUCAGAUGAUGCAUAAAACCAAGAUAUAAUAAGCAAAAAAGGACCGUUAAGUGUGUUGGUUUUAGUUUGGACAUUUUGGAUGCUCUGAGAACACAACAUGUUGUCACCAACAUCAGAGGAACAUCUCACAAUCCUUUGUGGUCUUUGGAAACACAGGAGAGGGACAUACACAAAGCACUGACCGUGUCCGGAGGAUCUGAAAAUGAUCCAGAGUGACAGCAGACCCGUGAAACCUGUCAGCGGGAGCUCAACCUGCGAAUGAGCAGAAGAGAGACAAGGUGUGACAGACACCGAAUGCUUGUAUGUUUGCCAUAGAAAAAUGCUAGAAAAUGUCACUUUCUACCCUUAACACACUUUGUGUGUGUCUCUUCUUAUGAAGAUGGAUGUUAACUUGAGUAGCAGAGUACUCUACGCAGUCAACAGCAACAUGACCACCACCGUCAAUAAAACAGACCCCUACCAUCCACCAGCGGGACCCUGGAUUCUGCUCCUGCUGGUGAUCAUCAUUAUAAUCAUUGUGGUGGGCAACCUGCUGGUCAUCAUAGCUAUAGCUCGCACAUCCCAGCUGCAGACCAUGACUAACAUUUUCAUCACGUCCCUGGCCUGUGCUGACCUGAUCAUGGGGGUCCUGGUGGUCCCUCUGGGGGCCACCGUCGUGGUGACAGGGGACUGGCAGCUGAGCGACACCUCCUGCGAGCUCUGGACCUCCGUGGAUGUGCUCUGUGUCACUGCCAGCAUCGAGACCCUCUGUGUGAUUGCAGUGGAUCGCUAUAUUGCAAUCACAAGGCCCCUCAGGCACAAGGUUCUGCUCAAUAAGUGGCGCGCUCGGCUAAUAGUGUGUGUGGUUUGGAUUGUGUCUGCUUUGAUCUCCUUUGUGCCCAUCAUGAACCAGUCCUGGCGAGCAGACGAUGAUCCAGUGGCCAAGAAGUGCUACCAGGAACCUGCCUGCUGUGACUUUGUGACCAACAGGACCUUUGCCAUUAUAUCCUCUGUAGUGUCCUUCUACAUCCCUUUGCUCAUAAUGAUAUUUGUCUAUGCCAAAGUCUUCCUCAUAGCCACGCGGCAGGUACAACUCAUAGACAAGACCCGGCUUCGCUUUCAAAACGAGUGCCCAGCACCGCAGCCGAACCAACAGUGUAACGACACCACGUUGUCCACCUACGGAGGGUCCGGCAGCACCGCCACGGCUCGCAAGAGGAGCUCCAGGCGAAGGCCCUCAAGACUAACGGUUGUCAAGGAGCACAAGGCCCUCAAGACCUUGGGCAUCAUCAUGGGCACAUUCACGCUCUGCUGGUUGCCCUUUUUUGUGGCAAACAUCAUCAAUGUGUUUGACAGGAAUGUGCUCCAGGAUAAUAUCUUUCGUCUUCUUAACUGGCUGGGCUACAUCAACUCUGGUCUCAACCCCAUAAUCUACUGCAGGAGCCCUGAGUUCCGCACUGCUUUCAAGAACCUGCUGGGUUGCCCCUGGUUUUCCACCCCUCAAUUAAACAUAUUUUACAAGGACUUGAGAACACGAUGCCCCUGCUUCUUGGGGUCAGCUGAGGCUGGGGCAGCUGGUUCUUUCCAGAAGCCCCCUGCUGCUGCCACACUUGAGGGGGACGGGAGCCUGGCCAGCAGUCAGAGUAGCUACAAGAGUGAGGAGCCUUCUCCUGGAGUCCAACACUCCAACUGCAGCACGCAGUUCAGUGACUUCUCAGAACCAGAAAAUGAAUUUUUCAAAUUGCAGGAUGAUGGGUGAUUGAUUUGGAAAAGAAUCAAGAAAUUGAAAACAACAAAAGACUGACACAACAGUUACUUCCAGAACUGAUUGAGCAGAGAUUGAAAAGGACGAAAUGAGACUUCAAAAGGAAAACUAAUGGAGAUAGCUGACACACUGGCCCUGAUGAAUAUGGGGGGACCUGAGUCCUUGAACCAUGCCUCAGGACUACCUGGACCAGAACUGUAGGACCAUGCCUCAGGACUACCUGGACCAGAACUGUAGGACCAUGGCUUAGGACUACCUGCCCUGAAGACUACUAGCUGUCCCUGUCCUAAGUCCACCGGAUCAUGUUUCUGAUAUAGAUUCUUCCCCACCACUCCUACUGUCACCACCUACAUCCCACCUGGUUGUCAGUCUCCAAAAUCCACCUGGUCAUGUUGCUGAUCUAAAUUCUGCCUCAAGACUCCUGACGUAGCUGGGCACAGCCCAUUAAUCCAUGUUUGGAUUUUUUUGGACCUGCCGGUCAUCUGAAUGUUUAAAUCAGUUGAUGAACGAUGUGGCAUUAAAAGGUUAUGUACUCAUAAUCUAACAGCCUGGCUCCUCUGUAGGUUUGUUCGUGGCCUGUCUCUGGAGUUUUUUCAUCAUCCUAUUGCAUACUUUUUAGAUUUUCAGGCUUGGUAUCUGUAUAAGCACUUUGUGACAACUACUGAUGUAAAAAGGGCUUUUUAUAAUAAAUGGUAUUGAUUGGUU